UACAGAGGGUGCUAGCGUUGUUCGGAAUCAUUGGGCGUAAAGCGCGUGUAGGCGGCCUUUUAAGUCCGAUGUGAAAGCCCGGGGCUCACCCCCGGAAGUGCAUUGGAUACGUGAAGGGCUGGAGUACCGGAGAGGAGGGUGGAAUUCCUGGUGUAGCGGGUGAAAGUGGCGAUAGAUAUCAGGAGGAACACCGAGUAGCGAAGGCAGCU
rnacentral:rRNA from 1 species